UCAGACAGUCGGGUGAUCGCGCCCGCGCAAGCGGGGGAGGAAAGUCCGGGCUCCACGGAAGCACGGCGCCGGAUAACGUCCGGCGGAGGCGACUCCAGGGAAAGUGCCACAGAAAGUAAACCGCCCGUAAGGGUAAGGGUGAAAGGGUGCGGUAAGAGCGCACCGCGUCGCUGGUAACAGGCGACGGCACGGUAAACCCCACUCGGAGCAA
rnacentral:RNase_P_RNA from 1 species